rnacentral:rRNA from 1 species
UACGAAGGGGGCUAGCGUUGUUCGGAAUUACUGGGCGUAAAGGGCUCGUAGGCGGCCAACUAAGUCAGACGUGAAAUCCCUCGGCUUAACCGGGGAACUGCGUCUGAUACUGGAUGGCUUGAGUUCGGGAGAGGGAUGCGGAAUUCCUGGUGUAGCGGUGAAAUGCGCAGAUAUCAGGAGGAACACCAAUGGCGAAGGCAGCUCGCUGGGACGUGACUGACGCUGAGACGCGAAAGCGUGGGGAGCAAACAGG